AAUUUUGGUAUAAAAAUAAAAAUAAAUAAAAAUAGUGUGAGAAACUAUUUUUAUUGGAUUUGUAGAAGUAAAACAUAAGUCAGAGGUGACUUGUGCUGAAAUCGGAAUGAAAACAGAAGAUCUAGAAUUUUCUGUUGGAAACGGGACAGAUAAAUUAGCAGAAAAUGCACAGUCUCAGAAAAUUAUAAAAAUUGGAGGAUAAGUCAGAAAUAUUUUUAUGAGGCUAGAUUUAAAGUUUUAUAUUUUUCUGACACCCGUAGAGUGAGAAAUAAAAUCCGACAGCUAUCUGAUAAAGAUUACAGUUUGGUACAGUUUUCGGUGACCAAAUGGGGUCGAAACUGAAAACUUAAAAUAUAUUCUUACUC
rnacentral:lncRNA from 1 species